AUUGAACGCUGGCGGCAUGCCUUACACAUGCAAGUCGAACGGCAGCACGGGAGCAAUCCUGGUGGCGAGUGGCGAACGGGUGAGUAAUAUAUCGGAACGUGCCCAGUCGUGGGGAUAACGUAGCGAAAGCUACGCUAAUACCGCAUACGAUCUAUGGAUGAAAGCGGGGGAUCGCAAGACCUCGCGCGAUUGGAGCGGCCGAUAUCAGAUUAGGUAGUUGGUGAGGUAAAGGCUCACCAAGCCGACGAUCUGUAGCUGGUCUGAGAGGACGACCAGCCACACUGGGACUGAGACACGGCCCAGACUCCUACGGGAGGCAGCAGUGGGGAAUUUUGGACAAUGGGCGCAAGCCUGAUCCAGCAAUGCCGCGUGCAGGAUGAAGGCCUUCGGGUUGUAAACUGCUUUGUUACGGAACGAAACGGUAGAGCUCUAAUACAGUUU
rnacentral:rRNA from 1 species